GGUGAAUGACUGUAGCUCAGCGGUAGAGCAUUAGCUUUGCAUGCAAAAUUUCUCAGGUUCAAUCCCCAGCAUCUCCA